rfam:Salmo salar isolate Sally breed double haploid chromosome ssa04, whole genome shotgun sequence.
UCUAGUCCCCUGUGGUAGAGGAUGGCGCUUGCAAUGCCAGGGUUGUGGGUUCAAUUCCCACUGGA